AUUGAACGCUGGCGGCAUGCUUUACACAUGCAAGUCGAACGGCAGCGCGGGCUUCGGCCUUGCGGCGAGUGGCGAACGGGUGAGUAAUGCAUCGGAACGUGCCCGGUAGUGGGGGAUAGCCCGGCGAAAGCCGGAUUAAUACCGCAUACGACCUGAGGGUGAAAGCGGGGGACCGAAAGGCCUCGCGCUAUUGGAGCGGCCGAGGUCGGAUUAGCUAGUUGGUGGGGUAAAGGCUUACCAAGGCGACGAUCCGUAGCUGGUCUGAGAGGACGACCAGCCACACUGGGACUGAGACACGGCCCAGACUCCUACGGGAGGCAGCAGUGGGGAAUUUUGGACAAUGGGGGAAACCCUGAUCCAGCCAUGCCGCGUGUGGGAAGAAGGCCUUCGGGUUGUAAAGCGCUUUUGUUCGGGAAGAAAUCCUGUGGGCUAAUACCCCGGGGGGAUGACGGUACCGGUAGAAUAAGCACCGGCUAACUACGUG
rnacentral:rRNA from 1 species